UACGUAGGGUACAAGCGUUGUCCGGAAUUAUUGGGCGUAAAGAGCUCGUAGGCGGUCUGUCGCGUCGGAUGUGAAAACCCAGGGCUCAACCCUGGGCCUGCAUUCGAUACGGGCAGACUAGAGUUCGGUAGGGGAGACUGGAAUUCCUGGUGUAGCGGUGAAAUGCGCAGAUAUCGGGAGGAACACCGGUGGCGAAGGCGGUUCUCUGGGCCUUACCUGACGCUGAGGAGCGAAAGCGUGGGGAGCGAACAGG
rnacentral:rRNA from 1 species